rnacentral:misc_RNA from 1 species
UAACCACUCAAGCCUGGCUUGGUGUUGGGGUUCGCCUGUAGGUGGCCCCUAAAACCAGUGGCGGUGCCGUCUGGCUCUAAGCGUAGUAAUUUUUCUCGCUAUAGGGUCCUGGCGGUGUUUGCCAUCAACCCCAAAUUUUAUUAGG